rnacentral:sRNA from 1 species
AUACUCAUUCAGUUUCUUUUUCCGUUGUCUUGCGGACUUCUCGGUACCAGCGUGGGUGAUGUUUCUUCGCCCACGACCA